rnacentral:lncRNA from 1 species
CAAUCAAAUGUGUGCCAAGUUGAAAACUCCUUUGCUUAUGUGGUUGCCUCUAUAGCUUCCUUGUAACUGGGCUCGGGGCUUCACUCUCCUGCCCUGCUGCAUCGGGGUCGGCAGAGAGUCCAAGUUUGAGCUUGCGUAAAAACGAGCCUAGUGCGAUCACAUUGGAACCGGCGCCUUGGUGGUCUUUUGGGGUUCUUGAUCCUGAGCAGGCACAACAGUACGAUAACACGCUUAAAGCAUGGCAAUAAAUUGCAUAAUUCUCUCUCAAAUCUUGCUAUGGGGAAGGGCUGACAUGGAACGUUUGAAGAAACAUGAAACAGACCCUAAAGACAGAUGACGUCUCACAGAGAACUUUUGAAAUUUCCUGGACUUUAGAGGAAAUGCAAGAUGUGCCUUUUAGCUCCUUCUCCUGCUACUCUCCAUAAAACCUAUGGACUUUACAUUAAAAUAAUAAUGCCAUUUUUGCACCUAAUAAGUUAAUGAUAAUUCCUUGACAUUAUAUGAUUCAAUUCUAAUUCCAAUUGCUUUAAAACUUUUUUCUUCUCAUUUUGUUUGUUAAAACCAACUUAUGACUGAGCAAAAUGGUAGAGCAUAUCCCUGCUGCUCCAGGAGAUGAAGCACCGGCGUUGGCAAAACUUCAGUCAUCACAUCUAGCAGACAUUGUACAAAACACGUUGUACAUGCUUGAAUUCUAGAAUUCAUCAGUUCAAAGAAAAACUGGCAAGACCCACCAGAGAUUUGGUUUUUGUUGUUGUUUGUUUAUUUUUGUUGAAUUAUCUACCAAUACUAUGAUUUUAUUUUUUCAGAAGGUCACUUUUCUACCCAAAGUUGGAAAAAUGCCAUUUUACAAUGACAGGUUCUCUCAGGAAAGUAUAGUUAGUAUUACUAACUAUACUUAUUAUUAUUAAUUAUCUAUAUAUUAUUAUAUAUACUUAUUAACUACUUAUCUUUACAAUAUAGAUUUAAUAAUUAAGAAGUGUUAUGGCUAAUGACAGAUAAUAUCAGUUUCCAUAGGAUGGAAAUGGGAGCAUAAUGCAGUUAUUGAACUAACAAUUCUAGGGUCAGACAGACCAGGUCCCUUCCCCAACUCUUUACAGUCUUUGCCUUCCUUGUGUAAUGGGGUGAUAAUAGCUCUUUUUCUCAAGGGUCAUGUCAAGGGGCAAGAAAAUAUCUAACACAAUUGUAUAGAGUAUGCACUUAAACAUUUCAAAUUAAUUGCUAACUUUAAAUUUUUCAGACAGUUAGCUAAAAUAACAUUAACAAUCUCAGUUUCUCUCCUAGACUUGGCUUUCAUUGGAAUUUGGAAAGACAAGGGAAACAAUCUUUCUCUCCUUUCUCAACCUGCCAAUGCAAAGAGCAGUUAGAGCUAGCUAAUGAUGCGUUAAGAGAGGUAUGUGCAAAGGGCAAGUGGACAAGAUGAUUUCCUGUUUGCUUGGUGACUUAAUGAUAUAGUUUUCUAAUAGUUCUCCCAAAUUGACUUGCUGGCCAUGUCAAAUUUAUUUUCUAAACUUUCCCAUCAUCUCUUUUUCUAAAAACUAUAUAGCCAAUCAGUUGUUUUUAUUUUUAUUGAUUAAUAAACAAAGAUGUAAAAUAAGUAAUUUAUAUAAUAUAGUAAUAGCUAAUAUUUAUUGAGACUUAAUCUCCUGAGUGCUUGGUCAUAAAUCACAUGACCCUUGAAGUAGUUCUGGAAGAUUGGUUGCUUUUAACUUCCCUUUUAAAGAUGAAGAAACUGAGGCACAGAAACUCCUAGAACCCGCAAAAGUGGCGGAGGGGAGGAGGUACUCAAGACAAAUAAUGGGCAGCCUGGCUCCAGUAUUCUUUGGCAGUGGGGCAUGGAUGUGUGUGUAUGUGCAUAUGUGUGCUGUAUGCGGUACCUUUCUGUGAUUUAAAGAGUGUUUAUCCAUGUGCACUUAUUUCUAACACCUCAUUUGUUUAGUAUAUGUAUAUGUAUAUGUAUAUAUAUAUAUAUAUAUAUAUAUGUAUAUUUUAAACUUAAUUAAAAUAUUAUUAUAUCACUUUCUCUUCUCCCUACAGUAUUUACCAUUCUCUCUUCCUUUUCAAAAUCAUGGCCUCUUUUUCUUUAAAUAUUGUUAUAAAUAUUUAUGAACAAAUACAUAAAUGUAACCUAAUGAGCUGCAUUGAGUUUAGCAUUGCUGGUAUGUCUGUAUUUUUAGGGCUGAUCACUUGUUAUUGAAUAACCAUUAGAGGGCUCAUCUCUGGGGAAGACUGUUUUUCCUCUCUCAGCAUUCCUUUGUCUGUACUUUUCAUCUAAGGGAGGAGUCAUGUGGAGGGGGAGGGGCCAUGUGGAGGGGCGAAGCCAUGUGGAGGGGCGGGGCCAUGCGAAGGGGAAGGGCAAUGUGAAGGGGUAGGGUCAUGUGAGGGAUUGGGCCAUGUGAGACUUUUCCAGUCCAUGUUGGCAUGUCAACUGGUGUUAGCAUUAUUCAGGUCUUGUCUCUGUAGCCUUGUUGUUGAGAUUUCAUGGAUGUGGCUUUUGUGUCAUAUCUAAAUACUAUAUCACAGCAGAUUUUUUUUUUUUUUUUUUGGUCCUUUGGCUCUUAAAACCUUUCCACCCCUACUUCUGAGAUGUUCUCUGAGCCUUAGGUGAGGAGGUUGUGCUUCGUUCUUUUGUUGUUUUAAUUUGAGUUGAGAGUGUGACUCAGGGUUGUCCUAAACACCUGGGCUCAAGAGUUCUUCCUGCCUUAGGUUCCUUGGUGGCCUGGAGUAACAGGCAUGGGCCACUAUGUUGGAUUCAUCCCGAGAUUUUAAAAAGGAAAGUGAGGCCUGAGAUCUCUUUCACAUUUCUCAUACACCCACCAUUCUCUUCUUGUGUAAGUGUCACUGACAAUGACAUAUUGGUAAACAGUACUAAAAGGGGAACCCUCCUAUUUAAAGAAUGGCUCUGGGCUGGAAUGGGGGAAUGUCAGGAAGAGGUAAGCCCUCCUUCAAUAUCUGGUAGCAGUCACAUGUCUCUCUGUGCUCCUUCAACCCUGACCUGGACAUGUAAGCCUGAAGUUUUCUCUAUUCUUUCACCCACCCUGAGUUGGUUGCACACUCAGUUGAUUUUGACUGUGCCUCUUUGCUUUCUCUUCAUUUUUCUACGAAGAAAAAAAAGAUUGAACUUCCCAGCUCCUCAUUGUUUCAGCGUAAAUGGAGAGAGAAGGGUGAGGACAGAGAAGGGAGGGCUGCAGCCAAGUCCUUUUAGGGCACGGAUGACAGCACCAACUAAUGUAUACGUUUUGGUCUCUGGUAGUUAAUUCCAAAUGGAGACACUCUUCCACUGUGCAUGUGUGUAUAUGUGUAUACAUUUGUGAAGAUGUGUGUAUCAGCUUUCUCUUCCUCUCUCUCUCUCUCUCUCUCUCUCCCUCUCUCUCUCCCCUUCUCUCUCUCUCUUCAAAGUACCAAAUACUUUGAUAGUACCAAUCAAUAAAGACACAGUCUAUUUCCUCUACACCACUCUGUGGAAGAAAUAGCUAAAAAGGCAGGCUUGAUGACACACAUCUAUAGUCCCA